GACGAACGCUGGCGGCGUGCUUAACACAUGCAAGUCGAACGGAAAGGCCCUGCUUUUGUGGGGUGCUCGAGUGGCGAACGGGUGAGUAACACGUGAGUAACCUGCCCUUGACUUUGGGAUAACUUCAGGAAACUGGGGCUAAUACCGGAUAGGAGCUCCUGCUGCAUGGUGGGGGUUGGAAAGUUUCGGCGGUUGGGGAUGGACUCGCGGCUUAUCAGCUUGUUGGUGGGGUAGUGGCUUACCAAGGCUUUGACGGGUAGCCGGCCUGAGAGGGUGACCGGCCACAUUGGGACUGAGAUACGGCCCAGACUCCUACGGGAGGCAGCAGUGGGGAAUAUUGCACAAUGGGCGGAAGCCUGAUGCAGCAACGCCGCGUGCGGGAUGACGGCCUUCGGGUUGUAAACCGCUUUCGCCUGUGACGAAGCGUGAGUGACGGUAAUGGGUAAAGAAGCACCGGCUAACUACGUGCCAGCAGCCGCGGUGAUACGUAGGGUGCGAGCGUUGUCCGGAUUUAUUGGGCGUAAAGGGCUCAUAGGUGGUUGAUCGCGUCGGAAGUGUAAUCUUGGGGCUUAACCCUGAGCGUGCUUUCGAUACGGGUUGACUUGAGGAAGGUAGGGGAGAAUGGAAUUCCUGGUGGAGCGGUGGAAUGCGCAGAUAUCAGGAGGAACACCAGUGGCGAAGGCGGUUCUCUGGGCCUUUCCUGACGCUGAGGAGCGAAAGCGUGGGGAGCGAACAGGCUUAGAUACCCUGGUAGUCCACGCUGUAAACGGUGGGUACUAGGUGUGGGGUCCAUUCCACGGGUUCCGUGCCGUAGCUAACGCUUUAAGUACCCCGCCUGGGGAGUACGGCCGCAAGGCUAAAACUCAAAGGAAUUGACGGGGCCCCGCACAAGCGGCGGAGCAUGCGGAUUAAUUCGAUGCAACGCGUAGAGCCUUACCUGGGUUUGACAUGGAUCGGGAGUGCUCAGAGAUGGGUGUGCCUCUUUUGGGGUCGGUUCACAGGUGGUGCAUGGCUGUCGUCAGCUCGUGUCGUGAGAUGUUGGGUUAAGUCCCGCAACGAGCGCAACCCUUGUUCACUGUUGCCAGCACGUUAUGGUGGGGACUCAGUGGAGACCGCCGGGGUCAACUCGGAGGAAGGUGGGGAUGACGUCAAGUCAUCAUGCCCCUUAUGUCCAGGGCUUCACGCAUGCUACAAUGGCUGGUACAGAGAGUGGCGAGCCUGUGAGGGUGAGCGAAUCUCGGAAAGCCGGUCUCAGUUCGGAUUGGGGUCUGCAACUCGACCUCAUGAAGUCGGAGUCGCUAGUAAUCGCAGAUCAGCAACGCUGCGGUGAAUACGUUCCCGGGGCU
rnacentral:rRNA from 1 species